rnacentral:rRNA from 1 species
UACGGAGGGGGCUAGCGUUGUUCGGAAUUACUGGGCGUAAAGCGCGCGUAGGCGGCUUUGUAAGUUAGAGGUGAAAGCCCGGAGCUCAACUCCGGAACUGCCUUUAAGACUGCAUCGCUAGAAUUGUGGAGAGGUGAGUGGAAUUGGGGGUGUAGCGGUGGAAUGCGUAGAGAUCCCCAAGAACACCAGUUGCGAAGGCGGCUGACUGGACACAUAAUUGACGCUGAGGCUCGAAAGCAAUGGGGAGCAAACAGG